rnacentral:lncRNA from 1 species
UGCUUCUCCCCUCUCUGUCUCUGUCUCCAUUUCUCUCUCCUCCCUCCCUCAUGCUGCCUUGUCUCCCUCCAGCCUCCCUCCGCCCCUCCCUCCGACCUUCACCACCCAGCUCAACACUCACCUGUGUCAGGCGUUCUCUGAGGAAUCUGCGCACUCACAUACACGGAUAACUGACUGGCUUCUCCUCCGGCUUCCACAGCACUCUGUCCAUGCCGGCCAGCAGAGCUUUGAUCACUGCGAACGGGGAGACUUCUUGUCACCGGGAAAGAGCUCACCCCACCACUCAGCAGGGGCAUGGUGGUGGCUAGUGAAUGCCUACUGAGUGGGCAGAAUUCUGAAAGAUGAAUGAAUGCAGUGUUACUUAUAGACAGCAGUUGUUUCAGUGGAGCUGAUUUGGGAGUUAUUCAUAAGUGUGUGUCACACCCAGUCCUCUCCCUUCGCUCCCAUGUCCUCAGCAGGAAGCCACUGCUGGGGGAGAUGAGCCAUGGCCCCACCCUGUGGAAGACAGCGACACGUGUCAGGUGGAUGCAUGACAGGAGACGGUGCCUAUGUGCUCAGAAACAUUUCCCAGAUAAAGGAUGAAGCAAUGAAAAAAAUAUUCAUGGAAGAAGGCUACUAAAGACCAGAUUUAUGGCGUUUAAAUACAAGAUGGGAUUUGAUCAAUGGAAUGAAGAACAGAGAAAGUACUGCAGGUAGGAGAAGCUUUUUCAUACAGAUGUGGAGGUAGAAAGAAGCACUGGUGUUGUGGCGUAGAUCUAAAAUACCCCCCACCGCCUCGUGUGUUUAGAGGCUUCUACCCUUACUGGGUUAUGGAAGCUUGGGCUUGGGAGGCGGGGCGUGGCAAAGGAGCAGGUCAGUGGGGCGUGGCCUGGCAGGUGGUCCCUGGGGCUGCAGCCUGGAAGGUUUCUGUGCCAGCCCCCUCCCCUGGCCCUCCCUUCAGGUUCUCUGGUUCCAGUCAGCCAAGCCCUGAGCAACUCUCCACGCUCCUUUGCCAGGCUGUUCCUUCUUUGGAGCUGCCAGCCUGGGACUGAAAUGUGGACUAAAAUAAACUCCUUUAAGGUGCCAGUGGUCCAGUAUUUUGUCCCACAGGGAGGAAGGCAAGUAAGACAAGUGGGCGUGAAAGGACCGGAGAGUUAGUUCAGUGAUUGUCUGAGGGAAAAUCAGCUAAUGAAGAUAUGGUUGGAAUUGUUCAACUGGAGCCGUAUUUCUUAGACAAGCAAGGUAAUUAAUGGUGUCUAAGGAGUGGGGAGAUGGACGAAGAUGGUAUUUAGGGAGUUUCCAAGCUGUGUAUUGGAAACUCCAGUGUAGAAAGCACAAAAAUUUUACUGCAAAUGAGACAUGAGGUAACGGUAGCCAGAUCAGAGCGGUGACCAUGAGCGGACGGCAGGAAGUGGGAACGGCAAGAGGAUCAAGCAAGGGAAGAAACGCGCAAGAUGCUGGCCGCCUGGCCGAAUCAGCGGGGGAAGGAAAUCAGGGCUCGCUGGGUCAGGAUGAGUCUGCUGUCAGCCAGAGUUUGCUCAAGAGGGGAGCCCGGGGCAGGUGGGAAGCGCAAGUUUGAUCUGUGGUUAUUUUGAGUCUACUGAGGAAGUGCAGGACUAGAGCUUUCAAGAGAAGAACGUGCUGAAAAUAGCAAAGUUUGAAUCGUGUUGGUACAAACAAUAGCUAAGGCUGGGAGGCAGCUGGUUUGAGGUUUCUGUGGAAGACACAGGGACAGAGGGGAUAGAUCAUCAAAGAGAGCAGUUAGGAGGGUAAGAAGAGGUAAAGAAGAACGCCCAAAGUGCUAACAUGGGGCUGGGGUGUAGCUCAGUGCCGAGCGUUUGCCUAGCAUGUGCUGGGCCCUAGGUUCAAUCUUCAGCACUCAGAAAAAAAAUGCUAGUGUGACCACAAACCACGAAUGGAAGACACUUCCAGAAUCAGGCUGAAUCCUGAGUACAAAUAAGAAAAACUAGUAACAGCACGGAAAAGU